UCUCUUCCUCCACUUUGCAAACAGCGCCAUCAUAAUCACGUCGUGUUCACACAGCCCAAGCAGAGCAUAUCAACAGCACAAGCCAUGUUGCGUCAGCUAUGGAAGCGAGGGGAGGAGACCCUCUGGGAAAACAUCUACAGAGGUUUAGAAGGCCCAGUGGGUCCAAGUGAUCAGCCAACCAUGCACAUUUCCCUAUUCAAAUGGACCUUAAUCCAAGGUGGCAGAGCGCAGCGUACUGACCACUGACCUACGUACUGUCCUUCCACAUGGACCUGCUGACUCUGUGCCUUCCCACUGCUGCACACAAGUCUCCAGCUCAGUUGACUUGGCAACACCGCAGUGCAUUGUGACGACAACGGGAGAUUAAGUGGCCAAUCAAAGCCUGAACAGUGGGGUAAUAAUUCCACUUGGUGAAAUGGGUGUCAAGGAUUACUCCAGCACUUUCUCACCUCACUGUGCAGGCUUUAAUAGGCCACAUUUCCUGGUAACUAGAGUGGGUUGGAUUAAAGAACUGCUUCCUACUAAAUGAUUGAUAAUAAAGACUAAAAGUUAUGAUUAGAGGCAAAUGUAACCUUGAGGUUAGGGACUGUCCAAAAGUUAUUAGGGGAGAUGGGGUCAAUAAAGGAGAUAAAGUAUUUUAUAUUUUAUUUUUUGUGAAGGGAGAAUAGUCUAACUUUAAUUUUUCCAUUUUCAUACCCCAUAUCCUAUUUCUCUGUUAAACAUUUGUCAUGUGCGCCAUAGAGGUCCAUUUUUCCAUAUGCAGGGUGGCAUCUGUGUCUUCUAGAAAUGACUAUACACUACUAAUUUGCAACAGCAAAUCCCUUUUAGAGGCAACACUGCCUGUAUUCUAUCAACAUAAUGAGGAAACUGUGUUAAUGAACAGUUACUGUAUGUAAGUAUAAAAUGUUCUCCAACAUUUAAUUUGCUUUUGGCCAAAGAAUCCUAUCUUGCAAUACUCUCCUAUCCUCUCAUAGCAACAAUACCAUUUAAAACUGUUAUUUUACUAUGUUUAGGCACUAACCUUAAACAAAGUUGUUUGCUUAAACCUAACCACAGACACCACAGGACUGAGACA